ACGGAAGGCAGCAGUGGGGAAUAUUGCACAAUGGGCGCAAGCCUGAUGCAGCAACGCCGCGUGAGGGAAGACGGUCUUCGGAUUGUAAACCUUUGUCUUUGGUGAAGAAACAAUGACGGUAGCCAAGGAGGAAGCCACGGCUAACUACGUGCCAGCAGCCGCGGUAAUACGUAGGUGGCAAGCGUUGUCCGGAAUUACUGGGUGUAAAGGGAGCGCAGGCGGGACAGCAAGUUGGAUGUGAAAUACCGAGGCUUAACCACGGAGCUGCAUCCAAAACUGUUGUUCUUGAGUGAAGUAGAGGUAGGCGGAAUUCCCGGUGUAGCGGUGAAAUGCGUAGAGAUCGGGAGGAACACAGUGGCGAAGGCGGCCUACUGGGCUUUAACUGACGCUGAGGCACGAAAGCAUGGGUAGCAAACAGGAUUAGAUACCCUGGUA
rnacentral:rRNA from 1 species